rfam:Camelus ferus unplaced genomic scaffold scaffold236, whole genome shotgun sequence.
GAGGGUAUAGCUCAAUGUUGGAGUGUGUGCUUAGCAUGCAGGAGGUCCUGUGUUCAAUCCCCAGUACCUCCA